CACGUAGGGCGCGAGCGUUGUCCGGAAUUAUUGGGCGUAAAGAGCGCGCAGGCGGUCGUUCAAGUCGAGUGUGAAAGCCCCCGGCUCAACUGGGGAGGGUCAUUCGAUACUGAUCGACUCGAAGGCAGGAGAGGGUAGUGGAAUUCCCGGUGUAGUGGUGAAAUGCGUAGAUAUCGUAAGGAAGACCAGUGGCGAAGGCGGGUCUCUGGACAGUUCCUGACGCUGAGGCACGAAGGCCAGGGGAGCAAACGGG
rnacentral:rRNA from 1 species